UACGUAGGGUGCAAGCGUUGUCCGGAAUUAUUGGGCGUAAAGAGCUUGUAGGCGGUUUGUCGCGUCUGCUGUGAAAUUUCGGGGCUCAACCCCGAACUUGCAGUGGGUACGGGCAGACUAGAGUGUGGUAGGGGAGACUGGAAUUCCUGGUGUAGCGGUGAAAUGCGCAGAUAUCAGGAGGAACACAGAUGGCGAAGGCAGGUCUCUGGGCCAUAACUGACGCUGAGAAGCGAAAGCAUGGGGAGCGAACAGG
rnacentral:rRNA from 1 species